GACAGAGGGGGCAAGCGUUGCUCGGAAUUACUGGGCGUAAAGGGCGCGUAGGCGGGAUGGCAAAUCGGUCGUGAAAUCCCUCGGCUCAACUGAGGAUCGUCGAUCGAUACUGCCGUUCUUGAGGAUUGCAGAGGAGACUGGAAUUCCCGGUGUAGUGGUGAAAUGUGUAGAGAUCGGGAGGAACACCGGUGGCGAAGGCGGGUCUCUGGGCAAUUCCUGACGCUGAGGCGCGAAAGCGUGGGGAGCAAACGGG
rnacentral:rRNA from 1 species